rnacentral:lncRNA from 1 species
ACCCUCCCAACACGCACACAUACACAGACACACACCGCUUUUUAAAGUAAAGCGAGAACUUAACCCACUCAAGAGAAGCGGGAAGUGUAAAAAAAAUAUGGUUGUGCGCAUUCUGCCUGUUGCCGCAGAGUAAUACGGUAAACAGCCGAUUACCGUACUCGCUGGGGCUACUGCCUGUGUGACGUCAGCGAGAGCUAGCUGCAAAGUUCCUUGCCAUUCUUUGCUGAUGUCGGGGAGCUGAAUAUUUAAAGGGUGAAUGUGGAGUUCCUGGUGGCUAUUCGUUUUUUGUUGCUGUUUUUUUUUUUCUUUUCCUAUUUUCACUCUUUAUUUUAAAUUCUGCAGGUAAAGCGGUAGUGAGCUGGGAGCUUAAAGACAUCUGUGGUGGAGGGGUGAGUCAGCGGGUGCAGAACUAAGAACUGGUUCCUUGGUGAGACGGUCGCCUCUUCCCCCAGCGAGCAGGCUGCAGGGCUGCUCGUGGGACCGAACCUCCGGUCCGCUCCCCGCUCCAGGAAGACGCAAGCAAACAACGCCCGGCAAACGCCUCGGUCCUGGCCAAUGUUUCAUACCCACUUCCCCCGGCCUGCGCGCGGAGAAGCUGGAUCUAGCAAGAGUCCACCGCGGGUCAGUCACCCUUGGGUAACUGCGGGCCGGCAGAAGCGCCCAGAUGCCAGAGGUGCCCGCUUUUGAGAGUCGACGGCAAAGCGGUACUUGAUUGUGGUUUGCGGGGAGACUGGCGCUGGACUGUUGAAUUCCAGAUUACGUGCAGAAUGCUGCAUCUUCUAACCAGGACGGAUCAGACAGUACGCAAAAGCGGGCCCCUGUAAUUCUGCGACCGCAUUUUCCAACGUGCCUCCUCGAGCUUCGCGCCAAGCCUCGGGUAGGAAAGGGAGUUAGGGCCGGAGGCCAGCGCAACGGGUGGGUAGGGUCCGUGGGUAGCCCCGCGCGCCCCUGGCCAUGUCGCCUUUAACGCCCUGCCCCUUUGCGUGGCUUUCUGAGGUUUUGCACGGCAGGCCGGGGUUGCUUCCCACCCGCGCGCUAUCUCUCACCCCCAGCUAACCCCAGCGGGCAAGGCUCCCCUGAGCCGAGACCUUUUGACUCUGCUCCCUCGCUUCCGCCUCCGCCCUCGCCCGGGGGUGGCUCUCGAGAGCCGGACCU